rnacentral:rRNA from 1 species
AAGUCGAGCGCUCAUUCGGUUGCAGCAAUGUAGCCGAGUGGGAGCGGCGCAAGGGUGCGUAACACGUGGGUAAUUUGCCAAAAAGUUUGGGAUAACUCGCUGAAAGGCGAGCUAAUACCGGAUGUGAUCAUCGGGCGGCAUCGUUUGAUGAUUAAAGUUGGGGACCGUAAGGCCUGACGCUUUUUGAUAAGCCCGCGGCCUAUCAGCUAGUUGGUGAGGUAACGGCUCACCAAGGCUAAGACGGGUAGCUGGUCUGAGAGGACGACCAGCCACACUGGAACUGAGACACGGUCCAGACACCUACGGGUGGCAGCAGUCGAGAAUUUUUCACAAUGGGCGAAAGCCUGAUGGAGCGACGCCGCGUGGGGGAUGAAUGGCUUCGGCCCGUAAACCCCUGUCAUUUGCGAACAAACCUUGCUAUUUAAAAGAUGGCGAGCUGAUUGUAGCGAAAGAGGAAGGGACGGCUAACUCUGUGCCAGCAGCCGCGGUAAUACAGAGGUCCCAAGCGUUGUUCGGAUUCACUGGGCGUAAAGGGUGCGUAGGUGGUGAGGUAAGUCGGAUGUGAAAGCUCCGAGCUCAACUCGGAAAUGGCAUUGGAAACUACCUUGCUCGAGGGUUUGAGGGGGGACUGGAAUACUUGGUGUAGCAGUGAAAUGCGUAGAUAUCAAGUAGAACACCAGUGGCGAAGGCGAGUCCCUGGAAAACUCCUGACACUGAGGCACGAAAGCUAGGGGAGCAAACAGGAUUAGAUACCCUGGUAGUCCUAGCCGUAAACGGUGCGUA